UGUGGAGGCUAUAUACAGGGGUACAGGUACAGAGUCAAUGUGGAGGCUAUAUACAGGGGGUACAGGUACAGAGACAAUGUGGAGACUAUAUACAGGGGGUACAGGUACAGAGACAAUGUGGAGGCUAUAUACAAGGGGUACCGGUACAGAGUCAAUGUGGAGGCUAUAUACAGGGGGUACAGGUACAGAGACAAUGUGGAGGCUAUAUACAGGGGGUACAGGUACAGAGACAAUGUGGAGGCUAUAUACAGGGGGUACAGGUACAGAGACAAUGUGGAGGCUAUAUACAGGGGGUACAGGUACAGAGACAAUGUGGAGGCUAUAUACAGGGGGUACCGGUACAGAGUCAAUGUGGAGGCUAUAUACAGGGGUACAGGUACAGAGUCAAUGUGGAGGCUAUAUACAGGGGGUACAGGUACAGAGACAAUGUGGAGACUAUAUACAGGGGGUACAGGUACAGAGACAAUGUGGAGGCUAUAUACAGGGGUACAGGUACAGAGUCAAUGUGGAGGCUAUAUACAG
ensembl:lncRNA